rnacentral:rRNA from 1 species
GAGUUUGAUCUUGGCUCAGAACGAACGCUGGCGGCAGGCCUAACACAUGCAAGUCGAACGCCCCGCAAGGGGAGUGGCAGACGGGUGAGUAACACGUGGGAACCUUCCCUAUAGUACGGAAUAGCCCAGGGAAACUUGGAGUAAUACCGUAUACGCCCGAAAGGGGAAAGAAUUUCGCUAUAGGAUGGGCCCGCGUAGGAUUAGCUAGUUGGUGAGGUAAUGGCUCACCAAGGCGAUGAUCAAUAGGGGAACUGAGAGGUUGAUCCCCCACACUGGCACUGAGAUACGGGCCAGACUCCUACGGGAGGCAGCAGUAGGGAAUAUUGGACAAUGGGUGCGAGCCUGAUCCAGCCAUGCCGCGUGCAGGGAAGACGGCCUUCUGGGUUGUAAACUGCUUUUGCCAGGGGAUAAAAGUCCCUGCGGGGAAAAUUGAAGGUACCUGGUGAAUAAGCCACGGCUAACUACGUGCCAGCAGCCGCGGUAAC